CAUUUUCCUAAAUUUUUCAGAUGAUGUAACUGAAGCUCAGAUGGAUGACUUCCUUAAAAUCACACAGGUAGUAAGUAUAAGAAGAGAAUGGCUUCUAGGUAAUAUUUUCUGACUCCAAUUGUUAGAAUUUUUCCAUAACAAUCAAUCCUUUUCCUGCUGUGGUAUAGUAAAAACAUCUUUGGCCUUGGAGUCAUGAUCCCUGAUAACAAAUCUCAUUUCUAUGAUUUCAUUCAUAUAUAGGACUUGAACUGAGGAAAUUCCCUACACCAAUAUAGAUUUCUUUUCAAAUGCAUAAGAAUGAUCAACAUAACUGAGUGGACAGGAGAGUAAAUGACAAUUUUCUGUUUUCUGGUACCAUAAUAAAGGCAAGAUAUGAUGGAACCAAACCAAAAUACCAAGACUGGCUUGCUGGAAAUUCUUCAGUGUUGAUGGAACUGUUCUCCAAAGUAGGAAACCACAAGUGCCAAGAAAAAGGAUGGAAGACAUAAAUGUUUUUAGUAUGUGUCAGACUUUUCUCCAAGUCCAUUUCUCCAAGUCCAUUUUCUCCAACUUAGCCAAAAUCACAGGAAGUUAUUCCAAACUCUUCUGGUUAAUGAGCCAAUUAUUCUCAUGAAGAACAUCAGUCAUGAAAGCAGAUAUUUCUCCCCUUUUACUAUUGCAC
rnacentral:lncRNA from 1 species